rnacentral:rRNA from 1 species
AUUGAACGCUGGCGGCAGGCCUAACACAUGCAAGUCGAACGAGUGGCGGACGGGUGAGUAAUGUGUGGGAAACUGCCCGAUGGAGGGGGAUAACUACUGGAAACGGUAGCUAAUACCGCAUACCAUUGGAUGUGCCCAGAUGGGAUUAGCGCGUAGGUGGGGUAACGGCUCACCUAGGCGAAGAUCCCUAGCUGGUCUGAGAGGAUGACCAGCCAAACUGGAACUGAGACACGGUCCAGACUCCUACGGGAGGCAGCAGUGGGGAAUAUUGCACAAUGGGCGCAAGCCGGAUGCAGCCAUGCCGCGUGUAUGAAGAAGGCCUUCGGGUUGUAAAGUACUUUCAGCGAGGAGGCGUUACUCGCAGAAGAAGCACCGGCUAACUCCGUGCCAGCAGCCGCGGUAAUAC